AGAAUGGAGGAAGCUUGGCUGCAGAGAUCAAGGAACUAAAGAGAGCUCUACAACUGUGUGGACAGAUACCAUAUCUGUAUUCACCUUAGUGUAAAAAAAUGUGGCACUUCAGCGAUAUCAUAUGCUUGAAAUGCAGACCCUACAUUUUAUUAGUGAGACAUAGAAACAUAGAAAACCUACAGCACAAUACAGGCCCUUCGGCCCACAAAAUUGUGCCAAACAUGUCCCUACCUUAGAAAUUACUAGGUUUACUAAGCUCCAUGUACCUAUCUAAAAGCCUCUUAAAAGACCCUAUCGUAUCUGCCUCUACCACCGUUGCCGGCAACUCAUUCCGUGCAGUCACCACUCUCUGAGUAAAAAACUUACCCCUGACAUCUCCUCUGUACCUACUCCCCAGCACCUUAAACCUGUGUCCUCUUGUGGCGACCUGGUAAAAAGCCUCUGGCUAUCCACACAAUCGAUGCCUCUCAUCACCUUCUACACCUCUUAUCAGGUCACCUCUCACCCUCUGUCGCUGCAAGGAGAAAAGGCUGAGUUCACUCAACCUAUUCUCAUAAGGCAUGCUGCCCUUGUAAAUCCCAGGCAACAUCCUUGUAAAUCUCCUCUGCACCCUUUCUAUGGCUUCCAGAUCCUUCCUGUAGUGAGGCGACCAAAACUGAGCACAGUACUCCAAGUGGGGUCUGACCAGGGUCCUAUAUAGCUGCAACAUUACAGGUUAUUUGUAGCAAGAAUAUUAUGAAAAUCGGGCAACUGAAACAAGAGAUUAAUUUUACAAUCUUUCUCCUGCAUUGUUCCGAUGUUCAGACAAUAUUCCUGGCAGAGUGCUUAGAGGAUGUGCAGACCAGCUAGCAGAUGUUCUCACUGACAUCUUCAAAAUCUCCCUGAGCAGCGCCACAAUUCCAACGUGCUUUAAGGCCGCCACCAUCGUCCCCGUGCCGAAGAAGUCUUCAGUGUCCUGCCUAAAUGACUACCGUCCCGUUGCACUCACAUCCAUCAUCAUGAAGUGUUUCGAGAGGCUCGUCAUGAGGCACAUCAAGACCCUGCUGCCCCUCACUGAAUCCUUUGCAGUUUGCGUAUUGUCCCAUAAAGUUCAUCGAUGACACGACCGUGGUGGGUCUCAUCAGCAAGAACGAUGAGUCAGCAUACAGAGAGGAGGUGCAGUGGCUAACAGACUGGUGCAAAGCCAACAAUCUGUCUCUGAAUGUGACACUCCCCACUGAACAUUGACGGCUCCUCGGUAGAGAUCGUUAAGAGCACCAAAUUUCUUGGUGUUCACCUAGUGGAGAAUCUCACCUGUUCCCCAACAGCAGCUUCAUAGCAAAGAAAGCCCAGCAGCAUCUCCUCUACUAUUUGCGAAGGCUGAGGAAAGUCCAUCUCCCACCACCCCCCCUCCUCAUCACAUUCUACAGGGGUUGUAUUGAGAGCGUCCUGAGCAGCUGCAUCACUGCCUGGUUCGGAAAUUGCACCAUCUCGGAUCGCAAGGCCCUGCAACGGAUAGUGAGGUCAGCUGAGAAGAUCAUUACGGACAUUUACACUACACACUGCAUCUGCAAGGCAAACAGCAAUAUGAAGGACCCCAUGCACCCCUCAUACAAACUCUUCUUCCUCCUGCCAUCUGAGAAAAGGCACCAGAGCAUUCGGGCUCUCACAACCAGACUAUGUAACAGUUUCUUCCCCCAAGUUACCAGAUUCCCAAUACCCAGAGCCUGAUAAGGAUUGCUAGAACAGAAUUAUCUCUGGUAUAGGUUGAGACCUUGUAAAAUACACUCCAGUCAAGUCUGCUUUUGUUCAGUUUGACUGCUUUGUUGGCGUGAAAACAAACUUGUGAAACUUUUAAAAAGUGAGCACAAAAAGAAUUAGUUUAUUCAGAUUUUUUAUGUGUAUUCAUAGUUGUAGAGUAGGAUUUAAAAUGCUCCCCAGAAAUGUUUACAGUAUUCAUGUAAAAUAUAAAAUUUUAUUUAUAUUUUGACAGAGUUUAUAGACAUGUAUUUUAAUGAUUAUAAUAAAUGCAUUACAUUAUGUAUAUAAUUUUUUUUAUUUUGUAUUAUUAUAUUUAGCGAUACUUUAUAGCGUGGAAUGGGCCCUUCCGGCCCAACAAGUUGCACCAUCCAGCAACUCACCUAUUUAACACUAGCCUGAUCACAGGACAAUUUACAAUGACCGAUGAACUGGUACGUCUUUGGGAUGUGGGAGGAAACCGGAGGGAACCCACUUGGUUCUGGAGAGAAUGUACAAACUCCUUGCAGAAGGCGCUGGAAUUGAAAUCCCAACUCUGGAAAACCCUGAACUGUAAUAGCAGUCUGCUAACCACUAUACCACCAUGGUGCCCUUCAACCCCUUUAACUUCAAAUUUUAAAAUAAAUAAAAUAUUACCCAUUGCCGGUUUCUAUAUGGUGAAAUUUAAUCUACAAAGUUUGUAAAUAAGAUUGAAAGAGUACAGCAAAAAAAAUUACAAGGAUGCUGCCAGGAAUGAAAGACUUGAGUUAUAAGGAAAGAUUGAAUAGGUUAGGACUUUAUUCCUUGGGAUGUAGAAGAUUGAAAGGAGAUUUGAUAGAGGUGUACAAAGUUAUGAGGGGUAUAGUUAGGAUAAAUGCAAUUAGGCUUUUUCCACUGAGGUUGGAUGGGACUAGAAUCACAGGACAUGGGUGAAAGGUGAAAAGUUUAAGGGGAACAUAAGGGGAAAUGUCUUCACUCAGAGGGUCGUGAGUGUGUGGAAUGAGCUGCCAGCGCAAGUGGUGCAUGCAAGCUCGAUUUCAACAUUUAAGAGAAGUUUGGAUAGGUACAUGGAUGGUUGGGGUAUGGAGGGCUAUGGUCCUGGUGCAGGUUGAUGGGAGUGGAUAGUUCAAAUGGUUUGACAUGGAUUAGAUGGGCCAAAGGACCUUUUCUACGAUGCUAAGACCCCCUUCAAUUUAAAGAUUUUAUUGAACUGGGCAUGGAUGAAAUGCUUGCCUCUCAUGGGUCUGCAAAAUUCCCAUUUACAGCAUCUGGUUUACUCAUUUGUCCGGAGUUUAACGUAAGCAGGGUGUCCAGGUGGAACCAGGGAGUAGGCUAAGUACUCAGCGGAGCUGUAGUCCAGGUCAAGAACACCAAUAGUCAGGAACAUGGGUAGAUUACAGCUGCAGCUAAGGUCCAAAGUGUUUGUACGUUUCGGCUUGCUUUAUGUUUAUUAGUGUGUAACAUGUGAAAAUGAAAGAUCUAUUGGGGUGCUUAAUAACAUUUUACAUACCAUUGAGUACAUUUUUAGCAAUAUUCCAACUGUUUAAUAGAAGACACACUCAGUAGCCACUUUAUUAGGUACAGGCGUGGAACCUGGAGCGGUCUUCUGCUGCUGUAGCCCAUCCACUUCAAGAUUCAACAAGUUCUGCAUUCAGAGAUGCUCUUUGGCUCACCAUGAGAGAGUUACUGUCAUACACCUGAGAGCUUGAGCCAGUCUGGCCAUUCUCUGACUUUUAUUAGCAAGGCAAAUACCCUGGAGGCUUUUAAGAGACGUUUGGAUAGGCACAGGGAUGUGAGGAAGAUGGAGGAAUAUUGACAUGGUGUAUUUAGGAGGGAUUCGUGUUUGGGUGUUUCUGAUUUACUUUUUAGCUGGUACAGCACAACAUUGUGGGCCGAAUGGCCUGUUCCUGGGCUGUACUGUUCCAUUCUAUUCCUGAAGACAGUAAACAGAUCACAUUGGGGUUUUAUGGAAAUCUGACUGUUUUGUGGUCAUCAUAACUAGUUUCUUCAGGACAGGUCACGACACCAACCUUUCCCUCAAUGUCAACAAAAGAGCUGAUAAUUGACUUCAAAAGGGGUGGGAAUGUGAUGCCUGUGCUCCUGCCUACAUCAGUGGUGUUGAGGUUGAGAGUUUCAAGUGAACACCGCCAAUAGCCCGUGUCGGUCCACACUGAUGUCACGGGCAACAAAGCUUACCAGCGCAUCCACUUCCUCAGGAGGCUGAGGAAAUACAGCACAGUCCCAUCAACAUACCAACUUGUAUCAAUUUUUACCAGACAAAGCAUCCCGACUGGGUGCAUAAUGCAGGAGCUCUGAAUGUGACCACAAGAAACCGCGGAGCUGUUGUCACCACAGCUCAGCACAUCAGCCCUGUGCCAAUGUCUCUGUUCUGUACUUACCAUCUCACAAUAGACUAUAGGUGCAGAAGUAGACCAUUCGGCCCUUCGAGCCUGCACCGCCAUUUUGAGAUCAUGGCUGAUCAUCUACUAUCAAUACCCGGUUCCUGCCUUGUCCCCAUAUUCCUUGAUUCCCCUAUCCAUAAGAUACCUAUUUAGCUCAUAAGAUACCCAUCUCCUCGGUAAAGCAGCCAGCAUAACUAAAGCAAAUGCAAUAAGCAUAUACGUCUCUGUGCGACAGGUUGAACACACAUAGUAUAACAGUCUCUGCUUUAUUAUUUCAUAUAUUAUUGCACAAUAUUCUACAUUAGUGAACUAUUACUGUAUACAUUAUUCUGCACUUCAUUAUUAGUUAAUACUAUUAUUUUUAUUAAUGAGGUGUACAAGAUAUUAAGAGGAAUAGACAGAGAGGACAGUCAGCGCCUCUUCCCCAGGGCAACACUGCUCAGGACAAGAGGACAUGGCUUUAAGGUAAGGGGAGGGAAGUUCAAGGGGGACAUUAGAGGAAGGUUUUUCACUCAGAGAGUGGUUGGUGUGUGGAAUGCACUGCCUGAGUCAGUGGUGGAGGCAGAUACACUAGUGAAGUUUAAAAGACUACUAGACAGGUAUAUGGAGGAAUUUAAGGUGGGGGGUUAUAUGGAAGGCAGAGUUUAAGGGUCGGCACAACAUUGUGGGCCGAAAGGCCUGUACUGUGCUGUAUUGUUCUUUGUUCUUUUAAUGCUGGCUGGUGGUGUAGUGGCAUCAGCACUAGACCUCAAGGCCGGGUCCCAACCUGGGCAGCAGCAGAAAAGCCUGGCAACCUAUUUCCGUAUCUUGCCAUGAAAACCCUGUGGUCCAUGAGGUCAUGAAGAGUCGGACUCGACUUAAUGACUGAACACCAGCAAAACUAUUACUAUAUUUAUUAUUAUUGCUAAGUGAGUUUCUAAAUGUUGCUGCUGUAAUGAAAUAAUUGCCCAUUCAGGAUCAAUAAAGUAUCAUUAUUAUUAGAAAUCCUACACACCCUGACCAUGCUCCUUUCUCUUCUCUCCUAUUGGGCCAAAGAUACUAACACCUGAAAGAACCUAGCUGGAACCAGGCUCAAGGAUAGCUUCUCCCCCACUGCUGUCAAGAUACUUAAAUGGACCUCCUGUGCAACAAGGUGUACUCUUGCCUCACAAUCUACUUCAUUAUGACUUUGCACUUUACCUGCACUGCACUCUUUUGGUAGGUUUGACACUUUAUUCUGCAUUGUUAUUCUUUUACCUAAUUCUAGUUCAAUGCCCUCUGCAAUGAUUUGAUUUGUAUAAGCAGUAUGCAAAAAAAAACUUUUCACUGUACCUUGGUGCAUAUGACAAUAAUAAACCAAUACCAGUUGUAUUGCCCUCUGAGAUGUUGUAACAUAAACUAGACAGUGAGCCAAACUCCAUUCAAAAAUGACAUGAGAGUCAGGGUAUGGUCUCCUAACUCCUUGGGUUUAAUUGCAGACUCAAUGGCACAAUAAAGUGAAUAAGGAGUGAAACCGAAAAACAACAAAAUACAGCACAAAUAUAGCCAUUCACACAAGUGAACAUGCACAGAUGAGUAAGAACUUAGCUAACUUUCCUACAGGUAAGUAUUAUAGGUUUCUGACUACAGUUAAGUAGUAUGUGUAAACCAUUAGCAUCUAGGUAGGUAUCUAAUAAACUCAAAAUUAAUAUUCUAUUUCAGAAAAAUCUUACUGAUACCUUUAGAUUAACUUCUAAACAAUAUAACAUCAAGUUACAGCCGGGGAAACAACAAGGUGGUUUUAGAUAGAAACUUAUUUAGCUCCUGACAUAAACCUCUGGACUUCUGCUGGCCAAAGUGCUUUCCUACUUCCUGACUGUGCAGGAAAUGACCUAAUACAGAUCUGAAACUGCUCAUUUCAAAAUAAAAGCUGAAUGUGCUUCAUUACAUAGAAAAUAAAACAUGUCAAUUGCCUGAAGGGUAGACCACCAAUACGUUGAAAGUAGCACUGCUGUGACACAACACAGUGGACUCCGACCUAAUCUCCAGUGCUCUUUUGUGUAGCUUGCAUGUUCAUCUUGUGGACCUUACUGUUGAGCUCCAGUUUCUUUCCAUGAUCCAUAUAUACACCAGUGGCUAAAUUAGCUGCUGUAUUUUACCCCUUGUGUAGGUGAGUUUUUGGAAAAAUGGACAUAUAUUGUUGUAUUUUAGUGUUUAAAUCCAAGUUUCUUUUAGAAACCAGGAUGAGGUACAAAAUCGUUUCUUCACGAUCAUUUUAUCAACAGCUGAUAGAACAAAGAGAACAGGAAUGGGGGUCUUACUACUUGAAGAAGGGAGGAUCUAUAGUAAAGUUAGCACCUGGCAUAAAACUACUUUAUACCCCAAAGAUAAGAAAACUCCCAAUCCAAAUAGAAAAUACUAUUUCAAUACUGCCGUAGAAUUGACCAGUGAGAAAAUACUAGCCAUUUAAUGGAACAAUUAUGCUUUGUAUUGCUACUAGAAGCAUAUAGAACUAUUUGUAUAAAAUGGCUACUUAAAAUACAAGCAGAUAAUUGAUUGUAAAACUAGAAAGUAACAAUUAAAAUUAAACAGACUGAUCCAACAGUGUCAAAGAGUACUGAGGGAAUGGAGGGUCGAGGGAUGGUUAAGGUUAUUUUGGGAGGUGACAUAGAUGCAGUGUGCCAAAGCUCUCUGAGGGGAUAUUAGAAAUUUAAAAAUGUAUUUAAUAUGUUGAAUUUAUACUUGCCACCCUCUGCAGAAUUCAAAUAUUUGUCUGGAUCGAGGGCCAACCCCGAGGAAGUUAGUUCAGAAAGUUAGCCCCACCAUUUUAACUGCAUUUUACAGGAGCACCACGGGGAGCAUCCAGACAAAUUGCAUCUCUAUCUGGUAUGGGAGCAGCAGAGCAUCAGACUGGAAGUCCUUACAAAGGACUGUGACAACAGCUGAGAGGACCAUAGGGGACGUUUAUUAGGAGCAGGGCCCUUAACAACCAUCCAGCAUCCUCUUUUGAAUUUCUACCAUCAGACAGGAGACUCCAAUGCAUAAAGACAAGACUGGUCAGGAUGGGAAACAGUUUCUUCCCCCAGGCUGUUAGGCUUCUGAACUCCCUGUCGCAUCGCAUUCAAAGUAUCACUGGUUAAUUUGUUCUGUACUUUACAAUAUUUAAGAAAUGCACUUUACUUUGUUUAUUUAUGUGUAAUUCAUCUGUAAAUUUUAUCCUUACUUUCCUCAGUUAUUGUGUGUCAUAUAUGUAGUACUGUGCUUUAUACCCGGGUCUAGAGAAAUGUUGUACAUAUAUGUACGUUUGUAGUUAAAUGACAAUAAACUUGACUUCACUUCACUACUCUUCCAUAACCAAGCUCAUGGUGCCCGAGAACAGAAACUUUAUGUAGUCAAAUUAAUUGAGCCAAGAAACAUAGAAAAACUACAGUACAAUGCAGGCCCUUCGGCCCACAAUGCUGUGCCGAAUAUGUACUUACUUAGAAAUUACCUAAGGUUACCCACAGCCCCCUAUUUUUCUGAACUCCAUGUAGCCAGCCAGGAGUCUCUUAAAAGACCCUAUCAUAUCCGCCUCCACCACCAUUGCUGGCAGCCCAUUCCACACACUCACCACUCGGUAUAAAAAGAAAAUCUCCUCCGUACCUACUUCCAAGCACCUUAAAACUGUGUCCUCUUGUGACAACCAUUUCAGCCCUGGGAGAAAGCCUCUGACUAUCCACACGAUCAAUGCCUCUCACCAUCUUAUACACCUCUAUCAGGUCACCCCUCAUCCUCCGCCACUCCAAGGAGAAAACGCCGAGUUCACUCAACCUAUUCUCAUAAGGCAUGCUCCCCAAUCCAGGCAACAUCUUUGUAAAUCUCCUCUGCACCCUUUCUAUAGUUUUCACUUCCUUCCUGUAGUGAGGUGACCAGAACCGAGCACAGUACUCCAAGUGACUCACAGUGCUUCAACUGACUCUGAAGACUAGCAGUAUUCGUUUAAUGUUUAGAUGUUCUUUUCAGCCGCAGUGUAGGCUUCGUUUCCCUUUUGAGAGUUUAGUUAGCGGCCCUGUCUGGCCCAGCGUUUAUUGUUUUCUUCGAUUUUGGAAGUCCAGUGGCUCAGGGAAGGCCGAAUGCAAAACAGCAGCAAAGCUUUGCUGUGCUCUGUCCAAGUCUCGACAAGCACUACGACAACAAGAAUGGAGUUAAAUGUAAUCACAAUUAAAUAAUAAUUGCCUGACAAGUGCAAAUUCACGAACGCAAUUGCCGUAUCUACUGCACUGCCGAAUCCGUGGUUGUGACACCCGAGCUGUAAUAGUGUUGCGCUAACUGCUAUGCUAUGGUGUCACCCCAUUAAAUAAUCUUGAAACUUGCAAUGAUUAAGAAAAAAAAAAAUUGGACAAGAACUACGAUACCACCCUAAUGUCCUUCAUCCUAGGCUGAAGCGGUACCAUUCCGGGUCUGCUGAUGACACAAAGCCGACUGAUCGUGUGGGCCACCAGGAUGAUAUGGAAAAAGGUCUGUGGGCAGUGACAGACAAAAAAAAAAUGCAUUCAACCAGAUUGCUCUACUACAGCUUAAAUCGCCUGACUCAUCUGGGGUCCUGUGAUCUACAGCUUCACUCAAACUGCAGCUCUUCACGGCAGUGGGCUCUCGCUCUCGGAGCUCACCGAGAGGCCUACGUUUGGGGAACUCCAGGUGAGACUGGCAGGAGGCGCGCCAUCCGCACGACCCCUCGCCGGUGUUGCCAACUGAAACGUCGAGUAAGAUCGAAACGUCGACACAGCAGUGUAUGCGGCUGUUGAAAUAAGCGACGCUGCAGACUUAACGUCGAAACAGCGAGCUGUUGGUCCUUCUCUCUCUCUCUCUCUCUCUCUGUGGCAGGAGUGAUACUUGUCUCUCCCUCCAUAGUGAAAGAGAGAACCUGUCUGAGAUAUCAAAGUGUUGGAAUGUACAGUUUUUUGAUGGACUCUAGAUCACGGUCUUUGGGGGCUUUGCUAUUGCUUGCAUGGUGGGUGGUGGGGGGGGGGCUGAUGCAUGGGAACAGGGAGGAGUGGGCUUUGGGGUUCUAACGUUUUUCUGUUCGUCAUUCUUUGGGGUUUUCUUCUGUUUUGUGGACAUCUGUGAAGAGUAAGAAUUUCAGAUUGUAUACGUUCUCUGAUAUUAAAUUGAAUCAUUGAGCCAUUGACAGGAUCUGACCUGGACCAAACUUUUACUGCAAAAGCUGAUGGAAUGUGUGUUAAGACACCAUGCAAGUUAUACGUGAGUUUUAACGUACAUCAGCGUGUGCCAUCAGCAUGUUACAAACCCCUAGUGUUAAUUUUUUCUGCGGACUGUCACUUUAAAACGCUGAGAGGAUGAGACUGACCUUUGGACACUGUUGGAUUUCUACUGAUUACAAAAUUGCUGGGUUGCUAUGGUGAGCAGGUCUUGUUUGGACUUAAGCAAGGACACUGACUAUUGCUGUCGGCUUCUGAGUUGCCAUGGUGGAAGAGAGGUCGAGUUGCUAGUUUGACGCUCAGCCCAGCACGGAUGGAAGGCGUGUAAGGGAGCCGGCUGGAUUCGAACUCAGGACCAUUCGCACCGGAGUCCAGCGCUGAUGCCACUACACCACCAGCCAUCCAAAUUACAAAUCUCAGGUGGUGACGAGAGGGCGUACAGGAGUGAGAUAUGCCAACUAGUGGAGAGGUGUCGCAGAAACAACCUGGCACUCAGCGUCAGUAAGACUAAAGAGCUGAUGUGGACUUCAGGAAAGACUAGGCCUCAAGCCACGGUGUCACCUGUUUACAACACCAGGAGAGAGGCGUCGGAGCCAGUGCAUCCAGGCUGGAGUUGGAGCUGGCCCCCAGUGUUCACUCGGCAGAAGACAAGCUCUAUUGUGGUCAACUGUACAUCAAAACAUGCAGGGAACUGCAUUAUUUCUACUGUCAACCAACACGUCGAAGCGCAUACUGGGGGGCCGGGGAAACGAGUGUCGCCACAGAUUCCAGUGCCAAUAUAGCAAGGUCACAAUGCUUGGUGUUCGAAACCAGAACACAACAAGCAACAAAACAGCAAAACAAGCCCCAUUGCUCCUUCACACCUACACUCGUACACAGAUCUCUAAUCCCAAGACAGUCCAUAUUUUUCAGUCCAACGGACCAGAAUUCAGACUUGGGCAUGGACAUGCAGACAUUGGGCCUUCGCAGAGGUUCACAGACCUGGGAAUUCGACCAGUGGGCCUCGACUUCCAGACUUCCGAUUCAACUCCAGAGCCUUGAUCCUUAGCAGUGACCCAGGAACGCCGCCAAUCACUGCAUACCAGCCCCCAAACUCCGAUCACAAUGAUUUACAAACCCAGGAGGAUAUAGGAUGUCACAUCUCUGGCUCACUUGGUACCCAGACUCCAAAGCUUGCCGAUAACUCCUUGACAACUUAUCUACGCUAGUCUGUCGGCUGGACAUCCUGGCCCAGUUUGCAGAUGUCCCACGUUUGCGUCGCUGACGUUCGAACACAGAGCAGAGACGUAAGAUUUUAGUCCUCUAAUAUCCCCACAUCCCUGUUCCUAAAACCCAAAUCACAAGUCCUAACUCUCCUGUGUCCCCAAAACUGUCCCUACAAACCCAAAAAACUAAAACUGAGCAGUGACCUCAAUGGAGAUCGCAACUUGGCACCAUCUUUAGCCAAAUGGAACAUGAAGACUUGAAGACUAAUCAGCAAAACAGUAUAGUGUACAAUUAGUAAUGGUUAUGUGCUCUUUAUAUCUGUAAAACAUGCAAAUUCUAUCAUUUUAGUUCAAAUAAACAAGAAUUUUCCUGACCACAUUUUGAAGAUUACCACAUUAUUUACAUGAAUUAUAUAGUCAUAGAGACAUCCAACGUGGAAACAGGCCAUUUAAUGCAACUAUCGAACCAGAUGUUUGGACAAUGAUUUAAGCACCGGGCCAAACUGGAAAGGUUGGAUACAGACUGAAUCAACGUGCCUGGGUCCAGGUCCCAGAGCACUUUGCGACAACUGAACCCAAUGCUUAGACGAUGAUUUAAGCACCGGGUCAGACUGAAAAGGUUCAGGAUGUCGGGACACUAGGGGAGGGAUGGGCCUGUUCAGCCUGCUGCUCCACGACGUUCACUGAACUGAGGGUCUGUGGACGGACUCGCUUUGAUGGACUUCAGUUCUGAAUGCUAUUUGCUUGCAUUUAUUGAAAGCAUGAUUUGCUUUUUUUCCUCUACACAGUGGAUUUUUUUAAAUGGGUUCUUAUGGGUUUCUUUGCUUUAUGGCU